GUAAAUCAACUAUGCUUUAAUAAAAAAUGUAAAAUAAAUACACAUAACAAGAUUGUUUUUCAUUGACAAUGCUGGCUCCUUAACCCACUGCACCCCAAGGGAACUCCCUAUCUUAAUUAUUCUUACGUGCGAGGUCCUGUGGUUAUUAAACCGCAGAUGUUUGGAAGGAGCACCGCGCUACGCUCCAGAGCCCGGCAAUCAACUUAGCUCCUGGCUCGCCGGUGACUAGGUGGCCUUAGGUGAGCUCCUCAGCCACUGGAACCCCAGCCUUCUCUCUGUAAAGAGGAGAUUUUCACAGUGUCAACUCCGCAGCGCUGGCAAGGCUGGAAGGCCAUGGGUGGGAAGCACUGGGCAGUGCUUGGCUCAGAAGGCACCGCGUACACGUUACCCAUUGUUGUUAUUCUAGAGCUUGGAAUUCAGAAUCAGAAUCAGGUCGGGUUUCACCCACCAGGUCGCGCGGAUACAGCUCGGUGCUGGCUGUAGACCGGGCUGAACCCCCUGAGUGGAGGUCGGGGGGGUCUGAGAAGUGCUCUGGCUUCCAGGACCAAGUAAGCCUCUGUGCUCUCUUCUCUGGGGCUGUCUCUCUGUCCCUCUGCACCUCUGGGGCUGGGUGGAGCUGGGGCUGCUGCUUCCAGCCAUGGGACUGGACGGAGAUUCUCAACCUCUUGCUCGACUGGGGUGCCUCCUUAUGGUACCUACUUCCUCGGCCAUCGCCAGACACGGUAAUGGUUGCUGGGCAGUGCGGAGAGACAUCCAACUUGAACCUCGUCCUGAAAGAUCUUACAGUCCAACUAGGGGGAUGAGACAUGUGCGACUGGGCCAUUUACCAGCUGAUAAUUAUUACUGACUGCCUACCAUGCACAAGAUGUUUGAUAAGGGAGUUCCCGUCACGGUGCAGCGGAAACAAAUCCAACUAGGAACCAGGAGGUUUCAGGCUCGAUCCCUGGCCUCGCUCAGUGGGUUAAAGAUCUGGCAUUGUUGUGAGCUGUUGGUGGAGAUUGAAGGCACGACCCGGAUCCUGCAUGGCUGUGGCUGUGGUGUAGGCCAAUAGCUGUAGCUUCAAUUCAGCCCCUAGCCUGGGAACCUCCAUGUGCCACAGGUGUGGCCCUAAAAAGCAAAAACAACAACAAAAAAGUUUGUUGAUUCAGGCACAGCCACAGAAAUCCAGAGGUGGGAGAAAUGAUAGUAGUUUGGUCAUAUUCAUCUAAACUGAAGCCUGGCCUCUCUUGAUGAGAUGGCUGGAGUGGGUUGGAUGCCGGGUUUUCAGGGAAGGUUUCACAGAAUAGAACUAGCUGUAGAUGUUGCCCAAAAGCAUUUACUAGAAAAUACCCCGGAGUUCCCCCCGUCAUGGCUCAGUGGUUAAUGAAUCUGACUAGCAUCCAGGAGGAUGCAGAUACAAUCCCUGGCCUUUCUCAGUGGGUUAAGGACCCAGCAUUGCCGUGAGCUGUGGUGUAGGCCGCAGACAGGGUUUGGAUCUUGCAUUGCUGUGGCUGUGGUGUAGGCUGGCAGCUACAGCUCGAUUCGAACCCUGGCCUGGGAACCUCCAUGUGCCAUGGAUACGGCCCUAAAAACAAAAAACAAACAAACAAAAAAAACGCCAAGUUAUGGUCCUCAGGUUACUUUGAGAGACUGUGAAGCAAUGAAUCCAGCUGUUUGUGAGGGUUCCUGUAAGGCGAGUGGAAAAUUCAAAUGGAAAUGGGGUCCGAGAAAGAAAAGUGUGAGGGAGGCUGGGACUUGCCCUCUCUGUGGCCUUUACAUACAUCCCUCCGGGUUUACUUUCCAUCUGAAUACUUUGGAUGGAGACCUAGGAACCAAAAACUUACUUCUCUAUUCUAGGAAAAACGUGAGUGCAGACAUAAGCAGCUGAUCCUCAGGCUCAGAGACAGGGAGGACUUGGGAAUGGACUGAACUUAGAGUGAAUGGGGAAAUACAGUCCUGUGUAAAAGGAGGCAGCCGGAGUGCCCGUCGUGGCUCAGCGGUUAACAAAUCCGACCAGGAACCAUAAGGUUUCAGGUUCAAUCCCUGGCCUUGCUCAGUGGGUUGAGGAUCCAGCAUUGCCGUGAGCUGUGGUGUAGGUCGCAGACAUGGCUCAGAUCCUGCAUUGCUGUGGUUGAGGCCAGGGACCGAACCUUUGUCCUCAUGGAGGCUAGUCAGAUUCGUUAACCACUGAGACAUGACAGGAACUCCGAUAAUACAGGUUUUCGACACAGAAAGUUGAAAGCUGAAAGAUGGUGGCAGUGGGACUGGAAAAUAGGUUGGAGCAAAACAAACAAAAAGAGAGAGACAAAAACUAAAAGAUGGUAAGAUGAGGGAAGCAGUAGGGUGUGGCAGGAGAAAAGAUAAGCAGGAUCCAGCUAAGAGUGAACCCGCUCUCCCGCCGCCGGAGAGAGGAAGGCCAACCAGGUCGGUUUCAGGCCUGCAGACUUCGGCGAAGUCCGCCUGCCUUCACCCUAACGCUGACCCGGGAAUGAGCUCGCGGGCCCAACCAGCGCUCCGCGGCCCUAGCCCCGCUCCCGGCUUCCUGAGGCUCUGGGGCAAGGCCGUUUACAAACGGAUUUUAUAAACCAGUUGCCUACGGUUAGAGUCACCGGCUCUUCAGGGCAACUUGUGGGGCUCAAGAAGGAGACGGAGGCGGAGGCGGAGGCGGAGGCGGACGCGCUGGCACUUGGAAGCGGGAGGAAAAGAGGGAGCGGUUUCUUACCCGGGGCUCUGGAAGGACGGAGGCCUCAGAGAGGGGACGGCGAGGGCCGGGCUGCUGGCCCUUCCAGGAGAAACGGCCGCCAGCCUCGCGCCUCACGGCACGAGCCUCCGGGGCGGCUAAGUUCACAGGCGCCCCCGCACCGCCCCGGGGACCGCGGUCUGCGCCGCCGGCUUCUCCUCCCCACUCACAGUCCCCCUCUCUUUCUGGAGCUCCUGUCCUCCGCGGGAAGGCCCUGGCCAAGGGGUAGCCCUGAGCGCCGCACCC
rnacentral:lncRNA from 1 species